rnacentral:rRNA from 1 species
AGAAGUCGUAACAAGGUUUCCGUAGGUGAACCUGAGGAAGGAUCAUUG